GAAAACCACAAGGGGUGCCGAUCGGCUGAGAUUGGGCAUAGAGUUGUCCUGACCCUUUGAACCUGUAAGAUCAUUCUUACGUAGGGAUGUGGAUGGAAACUGGC
rnacentral:ncRNA from 2 species